rnacentral:rRNA from 1 species
UACGUAGGGCGCGAGCGUUGCCCGGAUUUAUUGGGCGUAAAGGGCGCGUAGGCGGCCACGCACGUCCGUUGUGAAAUCGCCCGGCUCAACUGGGCGGGGUCAGCGGAUACGGUGUGGCUAGAGCAAGCUAGGGGGCAAUGGAAUUCCCGGUGUAGUGGUGGAAUGCGUAGAUAUCGGGAGGAACACCAGUGGCGAAGGCGGUUGCCUGGAGCUUUGCUGACGCUGAUGCGCGAAAGCGUGGGGAGCGAUCCGG